rnacentral:rRNA from 1 species
UACGUAGGUGGCGAGCGUUGUCCGGAUUUAUUGGGUUUAAAGGGUGCGUAGGCGGCCAAAUAAGUCAGUGCUGAAAUAUCCCGGCUUAACCGGGAGGGUGGCAUUGAUACUGUAUGGCUUGAGUAAAGUUGAGGUUGGCGGAAUUGACGGUGUAGCGGUGAAAUGCUUAGAUAUCGUCAAGAACACCGAUAGUGAAGACAGCUAACUAAGCUUUAACUGACGCUGAGGCACGAAAGUGUGGGGAUCAAACAGG